rnacentral:tRNA from 1 species
UGCCCCGUAGCUCAGCGGUGUUUGGAGCGUCUCCUUGCCAAGGAGAAGGUCACAGGUUCGAUUCCUGUCGGGGCAU